GGCUCGGGUAACCCAAAGACAUCCCCCAUUCCAGAAUUAAAAAACACAAAUCCCUAAAUUUCCCAACUCCAAAUCCUUAACCUCAUUGUCGGCCCUCACCAAUCCACCACCGCCCGGUCGCCGUAGCCUACAUCGCUGCCAGUAUUCGACUCACCGCUGUUCGAUGACCAAAACUCCUUGGAUUCAAACCGAGCAUCAUCGUCGUUAAUCGACGUUCGAUCGAUCGUUGGAGAACACUUACAACUGCCAUGUUUUCUUCAUUUUCUAAUUGAUUUUGCCGACAUUCUAGCGCACCACCACUCUUAUUAGCUUAAUCAGUGUCGUGCGAACAAAACCCAGGCGAUCAACGCCUUCCGUCAUCGCAAACAGUUGGGGGUACACGAGACUCUCCCGAUCGUUCGACAGUUCGUCCCAACUCCUCUCGAUCAGUUCAACCUCGCGAGACAGUGAUUACUCGUAUGAUCCAUAAACCAGAAGAAUGUUCGAAUUAAAAUAUUAGUUUGAUGAUAAUUCUAUUGCAUUAUAAAUUAGGUUCAAGCAUUGUUGUAGAGCGUGGCGAGACAGGUGCUCAAUAGACUUGUUGAUUGAUUUCUUUUUCCGAUAUCUAAGACAACGCUUGAUAGGCUCUAAGGUGUUAAUAACUUUCUUGGGUAGGCUUUCAAACCCCAAGAUGAUCCCUUAGGUUGGCUCUUAUACCUAAUAGGGAUAAGAUACUAUUGGAUAGGCACCCCGGACCUGACACUUGGAGGAUCAACACAUUUCGGAUAGUACAUUUUGUUAUAAUACUUUUAUUUUCCGAGUUGCCUUCAUUUUAGGUGACAUGUGCAUUUAUUUUGAAAUACUUGUUUUUACGACUUAUAUUGUUUUUGCUACUGAUGUUAGACUUACUGUGAUACAA